rnacentral:tRNA from 1 species
GCAGACUGUAAAUUUGUUGAAAUAAUUUCUACGUAGGUUCAAAUCCUGCUUUCUCC